rnacentral:lncRNA from 1 species
AUUAAAACUAUACACCUAUGAACAAGUCAGCUAUUUAGUUAAGCUCUGUUUCAUUGGAAGUUUGCAUUGACUCCCCAGGUCUUGAAUGCUUUGGGUGCCACACUGGCUGGCCGUUAAGGGUUGUGAUGAAAAAUCCCAGGAAGCUGAAGAGUGAACAUGAUCAUAAUCUCUAAAAUGGUCUUUGAGGAAUCACCACACUGUCUUCCACCAUGGUUGAAGCUAUUUGUGAUCUGCUUGGAUUUUAAGAAAAGAGAGUAGCCAUCGAAGACAGGAAGAGACUGUGUGGACAGCAACAGCAAAGGGCUUGGAGGAGGAAGAAGAGGAGAACAACAAAUGACAGAGAAAGCAUGGAAGGAAAGAAACCCGGACACAAUCAGUCAGCCAAUCCCCUGCUACAUUACAGCCACGAACAAGGAUUGUUUGUGCUGUGGCUGGGUUGUGAGGACCUUGGGUCUGUGUGGCCCCUUGUCUGCCUGUACUCACCACGCUGCGAUUGUGGAUAGCGGACUGAAUUUACCUAAGCUUGUGGAACUAAUCUGCACCUCUAAACCGACAAAGGCACGGACCAAGGCAUCUACUAGUGAAAUAGUGGGCUGGUAAGGCUGUUUGAAGUCAGCAAACAGCGUGAGUUCAAGGUAGCCAGGAAGAGUUCCAGCUUGUUAUCUGGGUGUCAAAACAUUUUUAAUUUUUUUGGUCAGUGGUUAUAAGCACUGUGGACUCAGGCUCAGGAAGUUUGGCUGCUAGUUCACAACUAGGUCUGUUUCUCUGGUUUUUGUUUGUUCGUUUUGUUUUGAGACUCCAUUACCCAGGCUGGAGUGCAGUGGCACGAUCACGGCUCACUGCAGCAUUGACCUCCUGGGCUCAAGCAAUCCUUUUGCCUCAGCCUCCCAAGUAUCUGGGACUACAGGUGUGUACCACAUAACCUGGCUGAUUUUUACACUUUUUGCAGAGACGGGGGUCUUGCUUUGUUGACCAGGCUGCUCUUGAACUCCUGGCCUCAAGUGAUCCUUCUGUGUUUGCUAGCUAAGUGUUAAUGCCAGAGUUAAUCUACAUUACGAGAACAUCUAUGCGAUGCAAAUACACACCCUCCCACCCACGUGUGCAUCGUGUAGAUGCGAGUGUAGAUGCAGCCUAACUAGAGUGUAGACAGAUUUCCCCUUCCCUUUGGAGGUGACCCAGGCCCUGCUGCAUGCCCUACAGGCUUUGCUGGGUGCUUGCUGCUUCUCACCAACAGGCCUGGUGCUGCCGAGCACAUGGUUCACGCCUCCUCCAGGGCUCUGUCCCACCACGCUCCGGAGGUGUGGUACGGUCCCAUGCCUUCCACCCCUGGGCCACGGCUGUCUUCUUUGUUCUGGACAGCAGGACAUGAAGGGGGGCUGCAUGGGCUAUUGGGUCAGAGCACAGGCUGCAACCCCUGUGCUGCUUCCUCAUCCCUUCUAGAGAGAUCGAAGCCCCUACCUCAUAGAGUUUAG